rnacentral:rRNA from 1 species
AUUGAACGCUGGCGGCAGGCCUAACACAUGCAAGUCGAGCGGAGCGGCGGACGGGUGAGUAAUGCCUGUGUAUCUGCCUGGCAGUGGGGGAUAACGUACUGAAACGGGCGCUAAUACCGCACACUCUCAGAUGCGCCUCGGUCGGAGUAGCUAGUUGGUGGGGUAAAGGCCUACCAAGGCGACGAUCCGUAACUGGUCUGAGAGGAUGAUCAGUCACACUGGAACUGAGACACGGUCCAGACUCCUACGGGAGGCAGCAGUGGGGAAUAUUGGACAAUGGGCGAAAGCCUGAUGCAGCCAUGCCGCGUGUGUGAAGAAGGUCUUCGGGGUGUAAAGCACUUUAAGUUGGGAGGCGUUACCAACAGAAUAAGCACCGGCUAACUUCGUGCCAGCAGCCGCGGUAAUAC